GUGACUCUGACAGAGAACAGGUGUGUUUUGAAGAGCGAACAGAUCCAGCACAAGAUAUUAAGCUGUUAUGAUGAGAAUGUGUCUGCAUCACUCUUUACCUUCACCAGCGCCUCGAGUCAGGACACACAGGUGUCCUUUAGUUUUGAGUGCUGAUCCAGAAUCGUACUGAUAAAAAUAAUCAGUCACCUACGUAAAAAAACAAAGGUAAAGAAGCAGGCAAGAUACAGACUGCCAUGGAAAACGCAGACUGAGAUUUCUACACAAGUCUACAGAACUCCUAAAAGUCUUGCUUACACUAAACGUUGGUGCAUGUGGGACAUGUGAGACAACAGGAAGGACGACAUCUUACUGAUAAGACCUGAGUAAUGUGAAAAUUCUCGAAGAUGUUUCCCACCAGAGAGGAUGUAAUACAUCAACAUUCCAGCCAUCUGUAACCACAAGUGACUGUG